GUUUCGGUGGUGUAGUGGUUAUCACGUUCACCUUACACGCGACAGGUCCCCAGUUCAAUCCUGGGCGGAAACA